AAACCAGCACCUCAAGUGGUCAGGAUGAUUAUUGGGCCUAAAGCAUCCGUAGCCUGCUCUGUAAGUUUUCGGUUAAAUCUGUAUGCUCAACAUACAGGCCGCCGGGAAUACUGCAGAGCUAGGGAGUGGGAGAGGUAGACGGUACUCGGGAGGAAGUGGUAAAAUGCUUUGAUCUCUCGAUGACCACCUGUGGCGAAGGCGGUCUACCAGAACACGUCCGACGGUGAGGGAUGAAAGCUGGGGGAGCAAACCGGAUUAGAAACCCGGGUAGUCC
rnacentral:rRNA from 1 species